UCUCCGUUGGUGAACCAGCGGAGGGAUCAUUACUGAGUUUACGCUCUAUAACCCUUUGUGAACAUACCUAUAACUGUUGCUUCGGCGGGUAGGGUCUCCGUGACCCUCCCGGCCUCCCGCCCCCGGGCGGGUCGGCGCCCGCCGGAGGAUAACCAAACUCUGAUUUAACGACGUUUCUUCUGAGUGGUACAAGCAAAUAAUCAAAACUUUUAACAACGGAUCUCUUGGUUCUGGCAUCGAUGAAGAACGCAGCGAAAUGCGAUAAGUAAUGUGAAUUGCAGAAUUCAGUGAAUCAUCGAAUCUUUGAACGCACAUUGCGCCCGCCAGCAUUCUGGCGGGCAUGCCUGUUCGAGCGUCAUUUCAACCCUCAAGCUCUGCUUGGUGUUGGGGCCCUACAGCUGAUGUAGGCCCUCAAAGGUAGUGGCGGACCCUCCCGGAGCCUCCUUUGCGUAGUAACUUUACGUCUCGCACUGGGAUCCGGAGGGACUCUUGCCGUAAAACCCCCAAUUUUCCAAAGGUUGACCUCGGAUCAGGUAGGAAUACCCGCUGAACUUAA
rnacentral:ncRNA from 2 species